rnacentral:rRNA from 1 species
GUGGGGAAUAUUGGACAAUGGGCGAAAGCCUGAUCCAGCCAUGCCGCGUGUGUGAAGAAGGUCUUCGGAUUGUAAAGCACUUUAAGUUGGGAGGAAGGGCAGUAAGUUAAUACCUUGCUGUUUUGACGUUACCGACAGAAUAAGCACCGGCUAACUUCGUGCCAGCAGCCGCGGUAAUACGAAGGGUGCAAGCGUUAAUCGGAAUUACUGGGCGUAAAGCGCGCGUAGGUGGUUUUGUAAGUUGGAGGUGAAAUCCCCGGGCUCAACCUGGGAACUGCCUCCAAAACUGCAUGACUAGAGUACGGUAGAAGGUAGUUGAAUUUGCUGUGUAGCGGUGAAAUGCGUAGAUAUAGGAAGGAACACCAGUGGCGAAGGCGACUACCUGGACUGAUACUGACACUGAGGUGCGAAAGCGUGGGGAGCAAACAGGAUUAGAUACCCGAGUAGUCC